rnacentral:lncRNA from 1 species
GUUGCCUGCUGUCUUGUAAGAUGUGCCUUUGCUCCUCCUUCACCUUCCACCAUGAUUGUGAGGCCUCCCCAGCCACGUGGAACUGGAGAAUGUGGUUUGUUUUCACUGCAUGAAGUCACUUCGGCCUUCUUCCCUGUCUGUGGGCAAGUUCAGGGUAGAAACUACCAGGUACUCUGAGAACUACGCCAUGGACUUCCCUGCUCAGAGAAGAACAAUCUGCUUCUGACGUUUCACUUUGGUUGUAAAGGACUUCAGGGAUUAUCUCAGCCUCUUCAAACCAAAAUUCCUCUGAAAUGCUUAAAUUGGCCCAGAUAGGGUCAGGUCUGGAAUAAUCAGUUCAGCUUAUGCUGAAAUACUUUAUUUCCAUCCUGCCUGCUUCCACAUCCACUUUUCUGAGCAUUAUUUCCUCCAGAACAAUUUAGAGAUCUCUGAGGAGCUGAUUAGAUGAUGAUGAGGUGAGCAUGCUCCCACCACAUGGCCACAAGGAUUGAUAGAGAUCAAGGACUGAGAGGUUUGGCCCCAAGCUUGACUGAGGAUGAUGUCGGGGAUAUUCCCAAGACCCUCUCUCAGACACAGAUGGUCUGACCCUUUAUUGGUCAUAAGGAUGAAGUGGAAGUUAAUGAGACUCUCAGCUUGGAACUCCCUGGAUGUAAGAUUAUAGCAUAUCUGUUUAUCCAAAGAAUUACGUGUGUCAGAGCAGUAGGUCUUCACAAAUUCAUUAGGUUUAUAACAAUCAACCAUAGUUACAGGAGAAAGAUGCUGUGAGCUCCCUUUAUACCCCUGUUCAGUAUCUGUACAAUCUUACCCUCUAAACGUAUUCCUUCUGUCUCACCUUAAUCAUGUAUUGCUUAUCUAUUUCCUCACAACAGUCUACCUCAAAAUUUGUGGCCUACAAUGGCAACCAUGUAAACCAUGUAUUUGCUUAUGCUUCUGUAAUUUGGACCAGGUUCAGCUGGGCAGUUCCUCUGCCAGUCUCACCCGAGGUCAUGUUCACUGCAGUCAGUUGGCAGGUGAAGGUGUGGGGAGUUGGAGAAAGACUCACUGGUCCCAGCCAGCCUCAAUCACAUGUGUUGGGCCUCAGUGGAGAUGACUGGAACUACUGCGAUGAGUAGGACACUCUCUCCAUGUGAUCACUCAUCCUCAAGGAGACCAGUCUGGGUUUUCUUAAGCCUGGGAGUCACAGGGCAUCAAGAAGGUGAAAGCAGACACUCAGGGCUCAAUAUCACUUCUGCCACAUUCCAUUGAUCAAAGCACAUCAUAGUGCCAGCCAAAAUUCAAGGGGCAGAGGAAAUAGACUCUGCCUUUUAUUGGAUGACAAAUUAACAUUGCAAAGAAGCAUGUAUCUAGGAAUGGAAGAAAUUUCUGGGGCCAUCCUCAUAAUAUAUCACAGUCACUAAAGCUGCAUAUUUAUAAAUUAUUCCUUUCACCCUUUAGAAAUGGCCUGUUCCUUAUUGGCAAGGGCAGAUGGAGACUCCAAUUGGGAUGACUCAUUUAAGUGGGGCUAUAGAAUGAACAUUUUUAUGGAAUGUCAACUGUGUGUAAGCAUUGUAUACAUAUAAUCCUAUUUAAUUCUCAAAACAACUUCAUGAUAGGUCUUACCUCCAUUUUAUUACUAAGAAAGCUGAUGUUCAGGGUGAGUUAAUGAAUUACUGAACGUAACUCAGUUGUCAUGGAGGGAGUUGAGGAUUUCUUCACCUGUAAAAUGGGAAUCAUAAUACUUACCACCAGCAUAGUUGGUAGGAUGAAAUUAAGUGCUUUGUGUGGAAGUGGCUGGUAAACCCCAAAGCACUGUACAAAUGUUAAUUUUCAUUUUCAUUGAGCCAAGCAGACAUUUUGAGGGGAGGAGUGUUGUCUAGGAAGGCGCCAGAGUCAUCUGAGCCAGACACCAACUGUUGUGUGUCUCUCAGCUGCUAUUUACUUUGGCUUCAGACCAAAUCCUUCAUGCAAUGCCUUUGGCGGUCACAGACGAGAAAGAGCCCUGUGGGCCAGGCUGGCAAGCCAGGACAUGCUACAGGUGAAGACAGACACGCUUCCAUUGGAAAAAGGAAGAAACUGAAACAAAGCUCUAAGUGCCUUGCUGCUAUCCUCAACUACUCCGGUUGCAAGGAUUUUUAAUAUUUCACUCAAGGUCACAUACACAACCUUGAAUUGCUCUGAACCUACUUUCUCCCAACUCUUCUUUUCACUAAAUCUCAUCCCAAUUCUUUCCAAACCUCAUUCUCUCAUCAUUAUCCCAUCUGCAUCUUCAAUCUAUACACCCAAUGUUUCCUCCCCCUCCUUGUCUUAUUUGGAUUCUGUAAGACCUAAUUCUUACAGGGACCAGGAGGGAGGGUCAGCCUUUUGCAAAGUCAGCCUUCACCAGUCUUCUCUUUGCACAUCUACCAUCUACCUAAACUAAGAUCUCUUCCUCCUUUGAGGUUUAGGCUGCUCAGAUACACCAUGUUCUUUUUGCCUGCCUUGUUGCUGUCAUCUGUUGACCUCCCAUCAGUCACUACCAUCCUUCUUUGGGAGUUCUGGCAUCUCACUCAUAGCCUACCUGCCGUCACCAAGGACAACUUCAACACUCAUUGAACAUCCUGGACUCAGAAUUCCUCAACUUUUACAACCCCAUUAUGCUUCAUCCAAGACAGCUGAAUACCAUCCAUCCACCGGUGAAAAAGGCUGCAUUGCAUUGCAGAUUGACUAGUUCAACUCACAGAAAUUGUUCACAAAAAAUGCCUAAUGCAGGUGACAAAAGAAAAGUCAAAUUUGGAGUCAGGAAAUCUGGUUUUAGAGUCUUAUCUCAACUCCUUACCAAGUGUUGAAAAUUGAAUAGGGUACACCUUCUCUAAACCUGAGUUUUCUCAUACUUAAAAAUGAGGAAUAAUAGUUUCUAUAACACUAGGACAUAGUAAAAACCAAAUGGGAUCUAGAGUGGAAAAAAAUUAUAAACUGUAGGAUACUCAACAAAUAUCACUAUAAACCCUUGAAAGAAAAUGUUUAUGAUUGUAUAAAUUAUAUGAAUCCAAUUUUUUUGUGUUAAGCCAAAAAUGAAAAGAGAACAAAAAUCAUGAAUUCUGGUUCAGAUGAUGGAUUGAAUGCAUUCUUCUAUUUUCACUCCAUCCCAAACUCCUGGAUAUUUUAAAUCAAGAGUGAGAAGAAUGAGAAAAGAGACAAUUAUAGCAAUGUAUUGGAAGCAUGUGGUAAAUAAUAACAAAACAGAGAAAACUACAUCCUUGGGCAGCUUUGGGAAAGCAGAGAGGGAACUGGAUUUAUACUACAAAAUUUCCAAAACAAUCAGCUGCCAGAACACUGGAAGCCAGGCGUUCACCUUACAGGCAGAAGAUUGGACAUACCUUCUCUGGGAAACCUGACUAGCUCAAGAGGAAACAUCUUAAGAUAUUGACAUUGGGAGUUCCAGCCAGAUCACCCUAUAAAGAAACUAUAUUCAACAAGACCCAUCCAUGUUUUGAAGCCUUUAAUCAGUUUUUUAGUGCCUCAAACAUGUAAACAUAAGCAAAGACCAUCAGACAUAUGAGGAAAGCUUCUAAUGUGAGCAAUAGAAAUACUACUGGUUUUUGUAUGUUGAUUUGUUUCUUGUAACUUUACUGCAUUCAUUUAUUCUAACAAGUUUUUGUGUGUGUGUGUGUGACAGUUUUAGGGUUUCCUAGAAAGAAAAUCAUGUCAUCUAUGAGCAGAGACAAUUUAACUUUUUCCUAAUUUGGAUACCUUUUAUUUUUCUUGCCUAAUUGCUUUGGCUAGGAUUUCCAGUAUUAUGUUGAAUAGAAAUGGUGAGAGUGGGCAUCCUUGUCUUGUUCCAGAUCUUAGAGGAAAAGUUUUUAACUUUGCACUAGUAUGAUGUUAGCUGUGGGCUUGUUAUAUAUGGCAUUUAUUGUGUUGAAGUACAUUAUCUAGUUUGUUGAGUUUGUAUCAUGAAAAGAUGUUGAACUUUGUCAAAUGCUUUUUGUGCAUCUACUGAGAUAAUCAUAUGUUUUUUCCUUCAUUCUGUUAAUGCAGUAUAUUACAAUUAUUGAUUUGCAUAUGUCAAACUAUCUUUGCAUCCCAAAGAUAAAUCCCACUUGAUUAUGGUGAAUGGUCUUUUUAAUGUGCUAUUGAAUUUGGUUUGCUCAUAUUUUGUGGAAGAUUUUUGCAUCUUUGUUCAUUAGGCAUAUAGGCCUGUAAUUGUCUUUUCUUGCUGUGUCGUUGUCUGGCUUUGGUGUCAGGGUAAUGUUGGCUUGUAAAAUGAGUUCAGAAGAAUUCCUCCUCUUCAAUUUUUUUGGAAGAGCUUGAGAAAACUGGUAUUAAUUCUUCUUUAAAUGUUUGGUAGAAUUUAGCCUUGAAGCAAUCCCUGAGUUUUUCUUUGAUGGAAUAUUUUUAUUUCUGGUUCAAUCUCCUUACUCAUUAUUGAUCUGUUCAGAUUUUCUAUUUCUUCAUGAUUCAGUCUUAGUAUGUUAUAUGUUUCCAGGAAUUUACCCAUUUCUUCUAGGUUAUCGAAUUUGCUGCUGUGUAAUUAUUCAUAGUAGUCCCUUAUGAUUCUGUGUAUUUCUGUGGUAUCAGUUGUAAUGUUCCCUCUUUCACUUCUAAUUUUACUUAUUUUUCUUUGUUAAUCUAGCUAAAGUUUUGUCAAUUUUGUUUAUGUUUUUGAAAACCAAUUAUUCACUUUGUUUAUCUAUUGUUUUCUAGUCUCUAUUUCAUUUAUUUCUGCUCUGAUCUUUGUUAUUUCCUUUGUUCUUCUAAUUUUGGGUUUAAUUUUUACUUUUUUCUUGUUUACUGAGGUAUGACAUUAAGUUGUUUAUUUGAGAUGCUUCUUUUUUAAUGUAGGCAUGUAUUGCUGUAAACUUUCCUCUUAGAAACUGCUUUUGCUGCAUCCUAUAAGUCUCAGAAUGUUGUGUUUCCAUCUUCAUUUGUCUCAAGAUAUUUUUAAAUUUUCCUUUACAUUUCUUCUUUGACCCAUUGGUUGAUUGUUCAGGAGCAUGUCAUUUAAUUUCCACAUAUUUGUGAAUUGUCCAGAAUUCCUCCUGUUAUUAAUUUUUAUCAUACCAUUGUGGUUAGAAAAGAUACUUGAUAUUAUUUCAAUCUUCUUAAAUUUGUUGAGACUUGUUUUGUGGCCUAACAUAUGAUCUAUCCUGGAGAAUGUCUCAAGUGCACUUGAGAAGAAUGUGUAUCCUGCUUCUGUUGGUUGGAAAGAAACACAAAAAUAAAUCAAUUUAGAGGAAGUGAAGAUUUUGUAAGAGAAAAGAGCAUAUGUACAAUCAUGUGCUGUAUAACUACGUUUGGGUCAGUAACAGGCUGCAUAUAUCAUGAUGGUCCCGUAGGAUUAUAAUGCCUGUGUAUUUUUUUACUGUAACUUUUCUAUGUAUAAAUAUGUUUAAAUACACAAAUACCAUUAUGUUACCAUUAUGUUACAAUUGCCUACAGUACUCAGUACAAUAAUAUGCUGUACAGAUUUGUAGCCUAGGUGUAAUAGGCUGUACCAUAUAGCCUAGGUGUAUAGUAAUCUACACUAUCUAGGUUUGUGUAAGUACACUCUACGAUGUUUUCACAACAAUGAAAUCACCUACCCAUCCAUUUCUCAGAUAUAUCCCUGCUGUUAAGUGACACAUGACUGUAUAUGUACAUUCCAGUCCUAUGUCAAUAUCUUUAGGGAGAAGACAUUGCAAUCAUGAAACAACGUCAGGACGGUUUAUUAAAAAGAAAUAGUCAUAGAGAAAAAAGAGCUCUUAGAAAUUAAAAAUAUGAGAAUCAAACUAAAAAACUCUACAGAGGGAUUGAAAGGUAAAAUUGAAGAAAUCUUUCAGCAAAUAGAGCAAAAAGAUAAGGAGAUGGAAAAUAGAAGGAAAAAAGAAAAAAUAGUUUAAGAAGUCAAAUAUGCAAACAAUAGGUGACACAGAUAAAGGGAAUAGAUAAAAUCAGGGAAGAAAAUCAACACAUAAAUUAUUUAAGAAAACUUUCCAGAAUUGAAAGACAUGAGUUACCACACUGAAAGAACCACAGAGUGCCCAACCCAAUGAAUAAAAACAUACCAAUAUCACUGUAAAUUAUUAUGAAACUUUAGAAUGCUGGGGACAAAGAUAAGAUACAACAGGGUUUCAGAGAGAAAAUACACUUACAAAGAAACAGGAGUUAGAAUUUUAUCAUACUUUGCAGUUGCAAUGUUGGAAGUUAGAACUACGGAGCAAUACCUUCAAAAUUCUGAGCAAAAACAAUCUACAACCUGAAAUUCUAUACUCAGACAAACCAUCAGUAAAAUGGGAUAGAAUAAGAACAUUCUCAGACAUGCAUGAUUUCAAAAAAUGUACUUUCUAUCCAUCCUUUCUUAAGAAGUUUCUGUAAGGUGUGCUCCAUCAUAACAGGGGAUUAAGCCAAAAAGAAAAGGACAUGGGGUACAGGAAAGAGAAGAUCCAACACAGUAUAAAGGCCAAAGAUAUGCCCAGGAUGAUAUGGAAGGGUGAGCCAGGACAGCAGUUAUAAUACCAGACCAUAUAGGAACAGGCCAGAAGGCUCCAGGAGAUUCUCUGAGAUGAAAUUGACUGACCAUCAAUACGUUUGAACAUACGGGCAGGAGAUUGGGACAACUGGUGAAGAGUUUGAAGUUACUUUAAUGUAAGUAUAUAGAAAACCAAGCAAGCAAAAAGACCAAAAAUAAUUAUUAACUCUAGGGAAAAUAAAAGGUUGUUCAGGAAAGGAAAAAUGUUUACAACAUGGUUCAGCUGUGGAAACCACUAACAUAGUUAUAAAAAUGUAACCUCUGAAUAGUGAUUCAACCAAAAUUAUAACUGCAAUGGAAGGAUGGGGAAACUGAAAAAGUGUGUGGUGGUUGGUGGGGAGGAGGAAUGAAAGAGAACUAAAUUCUCUGUCUUCCAUCAUGGUAGGAAAUCAAUAAAUAAUGCCUAAAAAUGAAAACCCCAAAAGUAGCAAUACAAGCAUGUAUGGACGGUCAGUCAUUUCAGCUGAAAAUCAUUGCUUCUGGGAAAGGGAAAGUGAAGGUGGGGAAGCUGAUAAUUUUUGUAACAAACCUGGUGAAAUAGUUUAAUUUAAUAAAAUACACAUGAGUAACUUUGACAUAAACAUUUAAAAAAUUUUAAAUAGUGUAGAUGAUCCUCCCUGCCAUUCCACUUAUAAGGCUGUUUAUGCCCAAGGGUAAGAGUGAGACCAGGGAAACAGCUCUGCUUACCACCCAACCCCCACCUUCAUUGCUUCAGCUCCUGCAAGUCUCUCAUGUCAGGAUUGUCAAAGGUGAUGUUGACAACACCUGAUUUUGCCCUACAUGCUGACUUUAGAACCUAAUGCCUGAUUAAGAGAUGCCUACUCUAUAUGAGAGGGGCUUCCUGCCUUCAAAGAGAGGUUAUUCUAUAACAACCUCUCUAGUUCCUUCCAACUCCUAGACAGGGCAUAAAAAUAUGCAAAACCAACUGGAGUUAUACAGACUCCUGCCCAAGGGCCUAUGGGGUUGAUGAAUGACUGGUGUGGCUGGAGCCAAGGAGAGGUCACGGAAGGCACUAUGGAGGAAGCUGUCAGCUCUGUCAACAUAUUCUGCUUCUUAAAACUGUGCACCAGAGUGGGAGGAGGGAAAGGAUCAGGAAAAAUAACUAAUAGGUACUAGGCUUAAUAUCUGAGUGAUGAAAUAAUCUGUACAACAAACCCCCAUGACAGAAGUUUACCUGUAUAACAAACCUGCACAUGUACCCCUGGACUUAAAAGUUAAAAAAAGAAAAAGAAAAGCUAGUAUUAGAAAAAACUGCACCAGCCAUCCUAUUGUUGUAUUAACUUAAAGCAUGUCUGAAUUGAGGUUUUUUAAAAUUUUCCUUGUUUUCCAUGUAGUUGAGCACACAAAGUCACAGCUGAAGAAAUUAUGUUUUCAGCAUCCAGUACUGAGGCAUUGUAUUAGGCUGUUCUUGUGUUGCUAUAAAGAAAUAUUUGAGGCUGGGUAACUUAUAAAGAAAAAAGGUUUAAUUGGCUCACAGUUCUGCAGGCUGUACAAGCACAGCUCCAGCAUCCUCCAUCUAUGGCCUCAGGAAGCUUACAAUCAUGGUGGAAGGGAAGGGAAGCCAGCAUGUCACAUGGUGAGAGUGGGAGCAAGAGAGGGGAGGUGCCACACUCUUCUAAACCACCAGAUCUUGUGUAAACUACCAGAGUGAGAACUCACUCAUAACCAAGGGCAGAGCUUCUAAGCCAUUCUUGAGAGAUCCGCCCCCAUGAUCCAAACACCUCCCACCAGGCUCCACCUCCAACAUUGAAAAUCACAUUUCAACCUGAGAUUUGAAGGGGACAAACAUCCAAACCAUAUCAGGCAUUAUAUAAUAAAAGAAGUCUGUGUCUGCUGUCCAGCUGAAAUGCCUCAUAAUAAGGAGAGGGGUUCCAACAGUCAUCAAAGAUGCCAAAUUGCAAGCAGCAAGUGGAUAAGUAAUAGGACUCAGGCUUUUUGAUUUCCUUGGCUAUAUCUUUAAUUCGACUUCCACCUGUCUCACUGUUGGCUACCAGUGGGACUACCAGAAAUCACAGGAGUGCAGCAUCUGUGGCAAGGCAGAAGCAAACAAGAGAUGAAGGGGAUGUAAGUCUUGAAGCAGUAGUUGGUUCUUUGGCAAAACAAGUAUCUUGUGAUAACUUCAUUCCAAGCAUUAACAUAUCUUGUGCCAAAAAAUGUAAAAUGCCAAAGUGAAAGAAAAGCACUAGACUUCUUAAGGGUCUCAUCCAAGAACCCUCUUAAACCUCAUUCAAAUGCAGUUGUUUCCCUUAUCAACUCCAAAUGUGUUCAGUGUUCCUCCCUACCCAUGGAGGAGUGCUCAGGUUUCUUUCAGGCUGUGAUCCAAGCUUGCAAAGAGCCAGUGUCGGGCAUGCUGACUUAGAAUACCCCAUUCUCUGGUCUAGCCACCCCCAUGAGAUGGCAUUUUUGCAUGAACAACAUGAGGAUCCAAUGGCUUUCUUCGGGGGGCAUUUCAACAAGGCUACAGUUGUGGUAGGAGACACUGUGCAUUCAAGUUAAUGAAAUCUCUCCAUCAUGCCUUAAGGAAGAUAAUAUAUCUGCCCGAGGCAUUGUGUAGGUGUGUUAGUACAGAUUCUCUGGGAAACAGACUCAGGGGGUGGAGAUAGGAGUGUAAGAGAUUUAUUGGGAAGUGAAGUCUGUGAAAGAUAAAAGGGGAGAGAGUAGCAUGGGGCAUAGAAAGUCUUCAGACUGUGAUGAAUGUCUGAUAUCUGAAAUGCAAGGGAAGAGGAAACAAAAUGGGGCCAGGAAAACCUCAGCUCAACCCAAUGGAAACCCUAGAACACAGAUGGUCACUAGAAGAGUUCCACAUUGGGCAGAAAUGGACACACCCUAGUGCCCCCACCAAGCUCAGUCAUUGCCUGGGAGCUGCAGCAGAGCGUGGAAUCAGUUCCAAUGCCCAGGAUGCAAUCUGAAGGCACUGCCGAUGGAGGCUGUUCACUAACUGCACUUUGUACAGCUGAGCAUCAGAUUCUUUUUUUUUUUUUAAUAUAGAAAUGGGGUCUCAGUAUGUUGCCCAGGGUGGUCUCAAACUCCUGGGCUCAAGCGAUCAUCAGCAACUGUUAUAUAAUGUUCUAUUAUGUCUCAGGCUCUAAGCUUGAUCUAUAUCCACAAAGAGUUCACAGUUUAAAAAUCAAGUAAUUAAAACAAUACAUGAUAAGAACUAACAGAAAUGCAUGUGAAUUAUUGCAGAAGCUCAGGGGAAGGAAGGAGAAAAAUAUGAAAUGAUUUAAGCAUUUGUUUUACCCUUGAGAAAGGACCCUGUCAAUCUACUGCAUAUAACACCAACUCUAGUAUGUGUGUUGCUCAACUGAGCUUCCAAAGUGGUUUGGUAUAGUUAGGCAGCUGAUUAUUAGUAACUUUCUCUGGAGCAGAAAGUUGAAAAGGAGGUCAAGGUCUCAGUUUCUAAGUUUAGACCACACUGGGAUUCAAACCAGUCCAUUUUUAGAAAAUGAAGCACUUACCCCACCUCAAUCAAACUGGACUUCAACUCCAAGUGGAGAAUGUCAGGCAGAUUUCAGCUAUGGAAAUGGAAAGGUUAUGAGCUCCUAGAUAAUUUUGCUACUCAAAAAGCUAGGAGAUGGCUUUUUCCCAUUGGGAUUUCUUUUGGUAGCAUAGACUUGAUGCCCAGGAGUGUAAAUGAUGAUCAAAGACUUCAGGUGUUCAACCAACCCCUGAUGUGCAUGGCUCUAGGGUAAGGAUCUAUGGCAGAUAUUGGGGAACGGAGUAGGGUGCAAAACACGGCCCCUACCAUGUUAAGGAGCAGAUAGUAGUAGGUUUUGAAAAUUCUGCUAGCUCCCAUGGAGCUCUCCUUGGUUCUAUGACUGUCUUCAGUCUUUUCUGAUAUCUCUGAUCAUGACAACCUCAGACUGUUUGAGUCUGCAUCUUGCCUGGGCCUUGACUAUUACCCUGAGCCCUACUGCCUCCAGACUACCUAACUGUUCAGAGUUUCUAGCUUGUUACUGCUAUGACCCUCAUUGGCUUAAGACUGUAUUGCCUUAAGACUACCUGAAGUCAUUAUGCCCACGUGACCUAAGGGGUGGAAGUCCCAUUAUCCUCACAGGUGUAGAAUGGGAUCAGAUCAAGUCCUCAUACCAUCCAUAUUAAUGUGUAAUUAUCUACAGUGGCUCAGAAAUCAGUGGCAUUCUCUGAACACCUGUCAUGCAUGUCUUGAGAUGUUUUUAUAAUUACAGGGAAAGUAGGUCCAUCCUAUGUAAAUUAAUAGAAAACCAACUUCCAAGUGCACAAUGACUUACAGUCUUAAUGCAGAAAAAAAUACUGCAUCUUAAUGCAGAACAAAAUAUUCAAAAAUGUAUUAUAGUUCAUUGUCAAAGCUUACCCUUUGUUUCCCUGUUCUGAGAGGGGUAAUAGGAAUUCUGUUAUGUUUUCUUUAUUCUUUUCCUUUUCAGCCCAUGGUUUUUAUAUUUUAGCUACAAAUCAUCCCAUUGGUAAAAGAGGCUCUAUUAUGAACCACAUGCUUCGUCAAAAGUAAACCUCACAUUCUUUUCUAAUUGUUGCACCCUGACAGGGCGGGGAAGAUAGUUUUGUUUUCAUAGUGAAGUCACAGAUAUAAAUCUCCCAGGGAUUAAGGCCCUUGCAGCAAUCCAGCAUGCUCACAUCAUCAUGAGGGGUGCUUCAGGUUCAUUUCUUUCUGGGAAGGAGAGACAGAGAGAGAGAGAAAGAUGGGGUGUGGAGAGAUUUCUUUUAGAAGAGUCAAAUUCUGGAGGAGAGCAGAACAUUUGUCAGCCCCCAGCUCAAUGUUGACCACUCCACUGGGGGCCAAAAGUUACAGGUCUUAACCUAACCUUGCAUCUAAACUAGGCAAACUUCUUCGAUUUUUUUUUCUUUUGUUCUCCUUAGAAUCUAAUCAUGGUAUUUCCUCCUUCUCCCUCUCCCUGUCUCCUGUGCUUAAUUUGUUUGGUUGUUUGUUUUAACCUGCAGUCUACAGUGAUAGGGAAGAAAGAGCGCUGACCUUGGAGUUAGAAAGAGUCAGGUUCAAAUCCUUUUUCCUCUGCUUUCUAGCUCUGUACUCUUUGGUGCUUGUGCUGAGCCUGUUUCAACAGCUGUUGCAGAGGAAUCGUAAUUUUACAAGAUUAUUGGGGGAACCAAAUGACAUAACAUAAAUAGGUGUCUGGCACAGAGGCCCUGAAUAAAAUCCACCAGUUUCCGCUGCCCUGACUAAAUGGUCUCCUGAAACAGGACUCACAACCAGCAGUCCACUCCAAGAGCUCACCUCCCCAGAGCGAGGAUAGUUGAUUUGGAAACAGAAGUCAGCUGCCAUGAUCAGCUAUGAAGGUCCAAGCUUAAGAUGAAAACUCCUCAGCUUGAUUGCAAAAAUCAGCCACCAUGUACCUCUCAACUGAAUCCAAGCUGAAGGCUUCUGCAGAAGUGAAAGAAUCCAUUUGUUCUUCCCUUGCUCCUCUCCCUGUAUUUGCAGGGCCUGACAUUGUCCCAGGGAAAUUAAAUUAGGAAAAUCAGUUUACAUGAGUGAUUACUUUUCUCAAAAUAUUUUCCUUUAGCCUACUGAACCACCAUACUCUCUCUAUCCCUAUUCCUCCCUCCCUCUACACUUCAGCCUCUUCACUUCCUGCCAAAAUCAUUGUUGCUAAAAACAAUCACGUUUAAAAUGGCCUAAAGGAUUCUUAAAUGAGAUGAACUGCUUGCAUCAUUCAAACGAAGACUAGAAAUCCCAAGAACACCCUUUGCGGUGAUGAAUCAUGUGGAAACUCCUCAGCCUGUGGUUCCAGGGCUCCCUCAUUUGGCCCUCACUCAGUUUCCAUCUUCAGAUUUAGCUGGGUUCUGGAGUGAACCUUGUCCCAAGGAGGUUGGCCUCCCCAGCUCUCCCUCCUUGCCCUUACUCCUCCCUCUCAGGCCCAGUUUGAAUUUCUCCUCUUUGACUUUCCACAUAAAAUUCCCACCCAUCCCUCCAGGCCCAUCACAAGCUCUCUCCACCGCCCCACCUUCCGGCGGCACAUACACGCUUCAGAUUCAGAGGGGUUUAGGUUCAAACCCCCUCUCUGCUACUUAUUAGUUAAUGAAACUUUGAGCAACUCACUCACACUUUCCUUGUCUCAGAUUUCACAUCUGCAAAGUGGGGAUAACAACACCUCACCGUGUUGUUGGAAAGAUUAAAUGAGAGACUGUAGAGCACAGAGGCUGUAAGUAGUAAUCAAUAAAUAAGGGCCAUUAUUAUUAUCCUCUCAAAAUAUCUGCCACACCUCUAACUUAUUUGUCAGCUAAUGGCAGUGCUCCACCACUUGGCCAUAAUAAUAUUUUGUUCAUGACCAACUGUGGAGAUUUUGUGAAAACUUUUAUCUUGGAAGAAUUUCUCAUUGAGGAAUAUGUAAACCUUAUGAGAAAAAUUGGAUUAGGAAAGCUGAGGUCACGCAUAAAUCUAUAAAAUUCAUGGCAAAUAAGAUUAUAUUCAUUAAAGUCAGUAAAGGCAGAAUAUUAAACAAUGAGACUAUAGUAAUAUUUUAUGCAUAUCGAGUUAGUGAUGAUUGAUUUCCAUUCACCGUUUCCUGCUUACCAGAAACUUUUCUGGGACUCUUUGGCUAUGCAGUGUUAAAAUGAUGCCUAUAUAUUCAGUUUGUUCUGUAACAGAUAAUGCCGACUUGAAGAGGCACCCUGUCUGUGCCUGUUUCUCCACCCAAACAUUUCAUGCAUUUUUGACUUGAUGGUUUGGAGCUAUUGAUUCCAGGUAUGCCUUCCAAUUAUUCUUCCCCCAGUCUGUUUUACACCAUCUCAGCACCCUUGAAGAAACUGACCCAUGCCUGCCUACUGACCAUGGGGGACCAGAAUUAUCCUUCCUCCCUUCCAUCUUUCUUUUCCCUGCUUCCUCAAACAAAGAGCACCCAGUGUUUGGAGGAAGAGUGAAGCCAGUUUUCACUGAAGGGCUUCUGUCUUGUUCUCAAAGCUUACCCAACCAAAGAGAGGAAAUCAAGCAUUGUGGGCCCACUCUAGUUCCUCUUUCCUUUACAAUGCACAAAAGGUGAGACCUCACUGCCCAGGCCCUUUAGGGUGUUCCUUGAGGACAUGCCCUUUCUUCUUCACCCACCCUUCUUUCUCUUCCCCUCCUUCCACCCUCUGCCUUUUUCCCCAUGUCCCCCUUUGCCAUUUUAAUGCCUCUACUUUCCCCAUUUUUUUCCAGGGAACAUUUUCCUUCCUAUAAAAAUAAUUUGACUCCAGGCCCUAAGAUUCUUCUAGUGAUUGGGCAGUUUUGGCUGUGUCAGGCAUUCUCAGGAUGCCUCUGGCUUUCCUCCCCACUGACUGCAGACUCCUGGGAGGAGAGGGAGAAGAGGGGUCUAGGCUUCUCAAUGGGGAAAAGGUUGUUUAUACAGACAUCUACUUCUACCUCUGCGACAUGGUGGUAACAGCACAGACUUUCAAGGUGGUUCUGAGUGUGAAUCCCGGCCACUGAUGUAUUACCUUGAGUUCAAGAUGUAAUAGGACCAAGGCCCAGCCAGCACUGAGGCACAGGACAUGAGAGUGCAUUUCAGGUCUGUGAGGCUGCAGACAAAGCAGUGCAUCCUAUUGCAGAGCUGGCUCACCCUGAGGUGUGACUGUGUGAAAACUAAAAGCCAUGAGCCAAUCAUUGUAGGUCAGGCCAUGGAGGGUGUUAUGUCCACUAAGCUGAACCUAUGGAGCGUCAUGGUGCCCUGAAUACUGCUGUGAAAGCAUCCUGCGCCACCAGCACCUGGGAUCACUGCCAGAGAAGAGGCCUCUGCCGCCAUGCUCUUUGGCAGCAGUUCCAGUGUGGAGCUUUGCCUCCCAUUCCCCCUACCUCCCACUGGCAUCAUCCCUCUAUUGCCCAUGCCUACUAGAUGACUUACUUCGGAACCUCCUCUAGUCCCGCCAUCCUGUGCUGGGGCUGAGUGAUGGAAUUAGAAGUGCUUUAAUGAGAAGAGACCUGGAUGCAACUCUGGUUCUGAAGAAUUCCAGCACUGGGGCAAGAUGGUGCGCUUGUACCUAAGGAUGCUGGAGAAACAGGGAACUGGACUCUGCCUGCUUCUGUGCCUUGGGCUCAGCCUUCCCCAGGCACCGUCUACUCAGCCAUCAGUACCCCUCUGUUGUGAGGAGUGUCUGAGAUCGGCCUGCACUGGACAUUUGCAAGCAUCUGGAUCCCUGGACUGCUAAUAGAAAGAGGUUGGUCUUUUGAAGAAGGUUCAAUUUGACUUCUGGACUCAUGGCUAUUUUCAGAAAGUGUGUUUUCUGGAACUUCAUUCUAGGGAUUAAAGGAGACAAAUUACCUCAGUUUUAAAACCUGCUUAAUUAAUGUGCUCUAAAUCUGGAAAUGAUUCAAAUGUUUGUCAGUUGGUGAUUGGAAAAACAAACCGUGGGAAAACCAUACAAUGAAAUACUUACCAAUAUAAAGGAAUGAACUAUUUUUAUUAUAUGUAAUAGCAUGAAUAAAUCUCAAAAUAAUGCUGAGUGAAGAAGUCAGAUGAAAAAGGGGCCAUACUGCAUGAUUCCAAUCAUAUAAAAAUUUAGAAAAUACAGCCCAUAGUGACAGAAAGCAUGUGAGUGGUUGUCUGAGGUUGAGGGUAUGGGUCAGGGAGAGGUGAAAGGGAAGGAUCAAAAAGGGUCGUCAGAAAACCUUUGGGGUGACUGAUAUGUGCAUUUUUGAUUGUGGUGAUGGUUUCAUUGGUAUGUACAUAUGUAAAAUCAUCAAAUUGUACGUGUUGAACAUAUGUAAUCUAUUGUACAUCAAUAACAUGUCAAUAAACCUGCAAAAAAGAUAAUAUAUACAAGAUACUUAGCAGUGUGCCUGGCAUGCAGUCUGUGCUUGAUAAAUAGGAGUUAUGUUGCUGUUUUCACACUCGGCUUCACUGUCACCUACUUUAGUGAGAACAGGAGCUAAAGACAUGGAGACCCCGAUCCUAUGAUGUGUCUCAAAUGGACUCUGCCCAAAAGCUGAGGGAGGCUCUGUGUGCAUCAGAACUAGAGCCAGUACGGAAAGAGAUUCAGAAAUUGGUUUAGGAACCCCUUCCAACCAAAGUGACACUUCCCAAAAAAACAUGUUAUAAUAUCAGUGUUAUAGGAGAAAAACCUUCUUGAAAUAUAUUUCCGAUAAUGCCUGUAAUUCUGAAAGCACAUUUUGGCCUGCUUUCUCACCUUGUCCAGACUGAAGAAUUGUUUCAGUUUAGUAUCAAUCAGCCCCUUGAUUCUAAAAUGCCAUUGCCCAGGUAUAGACAGCUCACCCCAUGGCAUGAGGACUCUUCCUCGUGGAUUUCUGCAACCCUGGGCUCUAGGUUUGGUUGGGUACUGCGAUCAAGCUUCCCCCACAGUCUUAGUUCAUCUCUGCUGUGUUCAACAAACAUUCAUUUCAAGGAAUAUCCACUCUCCUUCAUAAAUGUUGAAAAUUUCAUAAUCUCCCCUGGCCAUCCUGUCAUUGCUCAUAUGUGAAUUAGGUGAUUGCUUCUUUGGAGGGUUUGAGAGAGUCCAGGAAGACCACCUUGAUAUGACAAAAUUCCCACUGCACCCCAAGUGAUUCCU